rnacentral:lncRNA from 1 species
CAUUGCAUUGCAUUGCUUUGCACGGAGCUCCAUUGCAUUGCGUUGCACUGACACUCCAUUGCUUUGCUUUGCAUUGCUUUGCUUUGCUUUGCUUUGCAUUGCUUUGCAUUGCACUGACACUCCAUUGCUUUGCAUUGCUUUGCUUUGCUUUGCUUUGCAUUGCUUUGCAUUGCACUGACACUGCAUUGCUUUGCUUUGCUUUGCAUUGCUUUGCACGGAGCUCCGUUGCAUUGCAUUGCACUGACACUCCGUUGCUUUGCUUUACUUUGCUUUGCAUGGAGCUCUGUUGCUUUGCAUGCAUUGCAUUGCAUUUCACUGACACUCAUUGCUUUGCAUUGCUUUGCAUUGCAUUGCAUUGCAUUGCACGGAGCUCCAUUGCUUUGCACUGCAUUGCCUUGCUUUGCUCUGCAUUGCAUUGACACUCCGUUGCUUUGCUUUGCUUUGCUUUUCACGCGGCUCCGUUGCUUUGCAUUGCUUUGCUUUGCUUUGCUUUGCUUUGCAUUGCAUUGCUUUGCACGGAGCUCCGUUGCAUUGCAUUGCACUGGCACUGCUUUGCUUUGCUUUGCUUUGCUUUGCACAGAGCUCCAUCGCAUUGCACUGCUCUGCAUUGCUUUUGCUCUCCGUUGCUUUUGCUCUCCGUUUCUUUUGCUCUGCAUUGCUUUUGCUCUGCAUUGCAUGGCUUUGCUUUGCACUGCUUUGUAUUGCACUGCAUUGCACUGCUCUGCUUUGCAUUGCUCAUUGCUUUGCUUUGCAUUGCUCUGCUUUGCUCUGCAUUGCAUUGCAUUGCAUUGCUUUGCUUUGCUUUGCUUUGCACUGCUUUGCUCUGCAUUGCAUUGCUUUGCUUUGCUUUGCACUGCUUUGCUUUGCACUGCUUUGCUCUGCAUUGCUUUUGCUUUGCUUUGCACUGCACUGCUCUGCUUUGCUCUGCUUUGCUUUGCAUUGCAUUGCAUUGCAUUGCUUUGCUUUGCUUUGCACUGCUUUGCACUGCACUGCUCUGCUCUGCUUUGCUUUGCACUGCACUGCUCUGCUUUGCUCUGCUUUGCUUUGCUUUGCACUGCACACUGUUGCCCCCCCCCGCCCCCCCAGUGCAUUUUAUUGGG